UAGGGAAUCUUCCGCAAUGGACGCAAGUCUGACGGAGCAACGCCGCGUGAGUGAAGAAGGAUUUCGGUUCGUAAAACUCUGUUGUUAGAGAAGAACAGCGCAUAGAGUAACUGUUAUGCGUGUGACGGUAUCUAACCAGAAAGCCACGGCUAACUACGUGCCAGCAGCCGCGGUAAUACGUAGGUGGCAAGCGUUGUCCGGAUUUAUUGGGCGUAAAGCGAGCGCAGGCGGUCAAUUAAGUCUGAUGUGAAAGCCCCCGGAUCAACCGGGGAGGGUUAUUGGAAACUGGGUGAUUUGAGGGCAGAAGAGGAGGGUGGAAUUCCAUGUGCAGCGGUGAAAGGCGUAGAUAUAUGGAGAAACACCAGUGGAGAAGGCGACUCUGUGGUCUGUAACUGCCGCUGAGGCUCGAAAGCGGGGGUAGCAAACAGU
rnacentral:rRNA from 1 species